UGAUUCCGUAGGUGAAAUUGCUGAGGGAUCAUUACCGAGUUUACAACUCCCAAACCCAAUGUGAACGUUACCAAACUAGUUGCCUCGGCGGGAUCUCUGCCCCGGGUGCGUCGCAGCCCCGGACCAAGGCGCCCGCCGGAGGACCAACCAAAACUCUUAUUGUAUACCCCCUCGCGGGUUUUUUACUAUCUGAGCCAUCUCGGCGCCCCUCGUGGGCGUUUCGAAAAUGAAUCAAAACUUUCAACAACGGAUCUCUUGGUUCUGGCAUCGAUGAAGAACGCAGCGAAAUGCGAUAAGUAAUGUGAAUUGCAGAAUUCAGUGAAUCAUCGAAUCUUUGAACGCACAUUGCGCCCGCCAGUAUUCUGGCGGGCAUGCCUGUCCGAGCGUCAUUUCAACCCUCGAACCCCUCCGGGGGGUCGGCGUUGGGGAUCGGCCCUUUACGGGGCCGGCCCCGAAAUACAGUGGCGGUCUCGCCGCAGCCUCUCCUGCGCAGUAGUUUGCACACUCGCAUCGGGAGCGCGGCGCGUCCACAGCCGUUAAACACCCCAAACUUCUGAAAUGUGACCUCGGAUCAGGUAGGAAUACCCGCGAACUAGCAAAAC
rnacentral:rRNA from 1 species